rnacentral:rRNA from 1 species
UGGGGAAUCUUGCGCAAUGGGCGAAAGCCUGACGCAGCAACGCCGCGUGCGGGAUGAAGGCCUUCGGGUUGUAAACCGCUUUCAGUGGGGACGAACCAAGACGGUACCCACAGAAGAAGCCCCGGCCAACUACGUGCCAGCAGCCGCGGUAACACGUAGGGGGCAAGCGUUGUUCGGAAUUACUGGGCGUAAAGCGCGGGCAGGCGGUCUGUUAAGUCGUUUGUGAAAAUCCGGGGCUCAACCCCGGAAAUGCAUACGAUACUGGCAGGCUGGAGACUGGUAGAGGCUAGCGGAAUUCCUGGUGUAGCGGUGGAAUGCGUAGAUAUCAGGAAGAACACCUGUGGCGAAGGCGGCUAGCUGGGCCAGUUCUGACGCUGAUCCGCGAAAGCGUGGGGAGCAAACAGGAUUAGAUACCCAGGUAGUCCCUGAGCGGGCUGGCAAGGCGCAU